GGCGCAAAGAGAGGCCCAAGUGAGAUUAGCUAGUUGGUGAGGUAAAGGCUCACCAAGGCAACGAUCUCUAGCUGUUCUGAGAGGAAGAUCAGCCACACUGGGACUGAGACACGGCCCAGACUCCUACGGGAGGCAGCAGUGGGGAAUAUUGCACAAUGGGGGAAACCCUGAUGCAGCCAUGCCGCGUGUGUGAAGAAGGCCUUCGGGUUGUAAAGCACUUUCAGUUGUGAGGAAAAGUUAGUAGUUAAUACCUGCUAGCCGUGACGUUAACAACAGAAGAAGCACCGGCUAACUCCGUGCCAGCAGCCGCGGUAAUACGGAGGGUGCGAGCGUUAAUCGGAAUUACUGGGCGUAAAGCGCACGCAGGCGGUUUGUUAAGCUAGAUGUGAAAGCCCCGGGCUCAACCUGGGACGGUCAUUUAGAACUGGCAGACUAGAGUCUUGGAGAGGGGAGUGGAAUUCCAGGUGUAGCGGUGAAAUGCGUAGAUAUCUGGAGGAACAUCAGUGGCGAAGGCGACUCCCUGGCCAAAGACUGACGCUCAUGUGCGAAAGUGUGGGUAGCGAACAGGAUUAGAUACCCUGGUAGUCCACACCGUAAACGCUGUCUACUAGCUGUUUGUGACUUUAAGUCGUGAGUAGCGAAGCUAACGCGAUAAGUAGACCGCCUGGGGAGUACGGCCGCAAGGUUAAAACUCAAAUGAAUUGACGGGGGCCCGCACAAGCGGUGGAGCAUGUGGUUUAAUUCGAUGCAACGCGAAGAACCUUACCUACACUUGACAUGUUGAGAAGUUAC
rnacentral:rRNA from 1 species